GUUGGUGAGGUAACGGCUCACCAAGGCAACGAUGGCUAGGGGUUCUGAGAGGAUGAUCCCCCACACUGGUACUGAGACACGGACCAGACUCCUACGGGAGGCAGCAGUGAGGAAUAUUGGUCAAUGGGCGAAAGCCUGAACCAGCCAUGCCGCGUGCAGGAUGACGGCGCUAUGCGUUGUAAACUGCUUUUCUGCUCCAAGAACCCCCCGAUCGUGAUCGGGGUUGACGGUAGAGCAGGAAUAAGCAUCGGCUAACUCCGUGCCAGCAGCCGCGGUAAUACGGAGGAUGCAAGCGUUAUCCGGAUUUAUUGGGUUUAAAGGGUGCGUAGGCGGGAUAAUAAGUCAGUGGUGAAAUCCUGCGGCUUAACCGUAGAAUUGUCAUUGAUACUGUUAUUCUUGAGUUCAGUUGAGGUGGGCGGAAUGUAUAAUGUAGCGGUGAAAUGCUUAGAUAUUAUACAGAACACCGAUUGCGAAGGCAGCUCACUAAGCUGAUACUGACGCUGAGGCACGAAAGCGUGGGGAGCGAACAGGAUUAGAUACCCUGGUAGUCCACGCUGUAAACGAUGAUCACUCGCUGUUGGCAAUACAUCGUCAGCGGCUGAGCGAAAGCAUUAAGUGAUCCACCUGGGGAGUACGUCGGCAACGAUGAAACUCAAAGGAAUUGACGGGGGCCCGCACAAGCGGUGGAACAUGUGGUUUAAUUCGAUGAUACGCGAGGAACCUUACCUGGGCUUAAAUGCAGAACGACGGUUCCCGAAAGGGAUCCUUCUUCGGACGGACUGCAAGGUGCUGCAUGGUUGUCGUCAGCUCGUGCCGUGAGGUGUCGGGUUAAGUCCCAUAACGAGCGCAACCCCUAUUGUUAGUUGCCAGCGAGUAAUGUCGGGGACUCUAACGAAACUGCCGGUGUAAACCGAGAGGAAGGUGGGGAUGACGUCAAAUCAGCACGGCCCUUAUGUCCAGGGCUACACACGUGUUACAAUGGUCGAUACAGAGAGAAGCUACUUGGCGACAAGAUGCUAAUCUCGAAAAUCGUUCUUAGUUCGGAUUGGAGUCUGCAACUCGACUUCAUGAAGCUGGAAUCGCUAGUAAUCGCACAUCAGCCAUGGUGCGGUGAAUACGUUCCCGGGCCUUGUACACACCG
rnacentral:rRNA from 1 species